GACUGGCUUGGGGAGGCUAGCACGACCACCUAAGCCGAAAGUCGUCAAACUCGUCAUUUAGAGGAAGUAAAAGUCGUACAAGCUGAGAGUGUUUAUAUCGCUGUUCCGUAGGUGAACCUGCGGAAGGAUCAUUAAAU
rnacentral:rRNA from 1 species